AGGUAGCUAAUUCUGAAAUAGGAAAACAGAUCAUUAGCAGUAAUUUCAUAGCGAAUGUAGGACAACAUUUGCAGAGUCGAGAGUAGAUGACGAAUAUGACAAACACGAAGUGUAGAAUUGCAUAACACAGCUCUAAAAAAGAAAAAAAAAUCUAUAAAAGCGGUGUAUGUUUGGUCACUACAGGCAGAAUCUAGUUUUUCGUUUGAUGAUUUUAUGAUUGUCUCGUUGUGAGGUGAAGUUAAGCACAUCAGCUGCCCAGAGUAGAUAGUUUUAGCAGCCUUUCUCAAUGAGACUUGAGUUGGUUUGAUUAAGGGAUCCCAAAAGGUCGACGAUUAGGUAACAAAAAUGGAUCUGUUUUAA
rnacentral:lncRNA from 1 species